rnacentral:rRNA from 1 species
GAUGAACGCUGGCGGCGUGCCUAAUACAUGCAAGUCGAGCGAACAGACGAGGAGCUUGCUCCUCUGACGUUAGCGGCGGACGGGUGAGUAACACGUGGAUAACCUACCUAUAAGACUGGGAUAACUUCGGGACACCGGAGCUAAUACCGGAUAAUAUAUUGAACCGCAUGGUUCAAUAGUGAAAGACGGUUUUGCUGUCACUUAUAGAUGGAUCCGCGCCGCAUUAGCUAGUUGGUAAGGUAACGGCUUACCAAGGCAACGAUGCGUAGCCGACCUGAGGGGGUGGUCGGCCACACUGGAACUGAGACACGGUCCAGACUCCUACGGGAGGCAGCAGGAGGGAAUCGUCCGCAAUGGGCGGAAGCCUGACGGAGCAACGCCGCGUGAGUGAUGAAGGUCUUCGGAUCGUAAAACUCUGUUAUUAGGGAAGAACAAGUGUGUAAGUAACUAUGCACGUCUGGACGGUACCUAAUCAGAAAGCCACGGCUAACUACGUG